rnacentral:precursor_RNA from 1 species
GACCCCACGUCCCUCCCGGGCCCCUGUGAGCAUCUUACCGGACAGUGCUGGAUUUCCCAGCUUGACUCUAACACUGUCUGGUAACGAUGUUCAAAGGUGACCCGCCGCUCGCCGGGGACAC